rnacentral:rRNA from 1 species
UAGGGAAUAUUGCGCAAUGAACGAAAGUUUGACGCAGCGACGCCGCGUGAGGGAUGAAGGUCUUCGGAUCGUAAACCUCUGUCAAGAGGGAAGAAGUGCAGGCACUCUAACAUAGUGUUUGUUUGACGGUACCUCUGAAGGAAGCACCGGCUAACUCCGUGCCAGCAGCCGCGGUAAUACGGAGGGUGCAAGCGUUAAUCGGAAUUACUGGGCGUAAAGCGCGCGUAGGCGGAUUCUUAAGUCAGGAGUGAAAUCCCCGGGCUCAACCUGGGAAUAGCUUUUGAUACUGGGAGUCUUGAGUUCAGGAGAGGGUGGCGGAAUUCCAGGUGUAGGAGUGAAAUCCGUAGAGAUCUGGAGGAACAUCAGUGGCGAAGGCGGCCACCUGGACUGAUACUGACGCUGAGGUGCGAAAGCGUGGGGAGCAAACAGG